GAUGAACGCUGGCGGCGUGCCUAAUACAUGCAAGUCGAGCGAACGGACGAGAAGCUUGCUUCUCUGAUGUUAGCGGCGGACGGGUGAGUAACACGUGGAUAACCUACCUAUAAGACUUGGAUAACUUCGGGAAACCGGAGCUAAUACCGGAUAAUAUUUUGAACCGCAUGGUUCAAAAGUGAAAGACGGUCUUGCUGUCACUUAUAGAUGGAUCCGCGCUGCAUUAGCUAGUUGGUAAGGUAACGGCUUACCAAGGCAACGAUGCAUAGCCGAACUGAGAGGGUGAUCGGCCACACUGGAACAAAGACACGGUCCAGACUCCUACGGGAGGCAGCAGUAGGGAAUCUUCCGCAAUGGGCGAAAGCCUGACGGAGCAACGCCGAGUGAGUGAUGAAGGUCUUCGGAUCGUAAAACUCUGUUAUUAGGGAAGAACAUAUGUGUAAGUAACUGUGCACAUCUUGACGGUACCUAAUCAGAAAGCCACGGCUAACUACGUG
rnacentral:rRNA from 1 species